GAUGAAGAACGCAGCAAAAUGCGAUAAGUAAUGUGAAUUGCAGAAUUCAGUGAAUCAUCGAAUCUUUGAACGCACAUUGCGCCCGCCAGUAUUCUGGCGGGCAUGCCUGUUCGAGCGUCAUUUCAACCCUCAAGCUCAGCUUGGUGUUGGGACUCGCGGUAACCCGCGUUCCCCAAAUCGAUUGGCGGUCACGUCGAGCUUCCAUAGCGUAGUAAUCAUACACCUCGUUACUGGUAAUCGUCGCGGCCACGCCGUAAAACCCCAACUUCUGAAUGUUGACCUCGGAUCAGGUAGGAAUACCCGCUGAACUUAAGCAUACAAUAAGCGGAGGA
rnacentral:misc_RNA from 1 species